rnacentral:snoRNA from 1 species
ACUCCCGUUCUUGGCAGGCUCUGGUCGCCCUGUGCCCGGGUCUGUGAUGUCCGGAGGUAGAGCAGCGACUCUGUCAUGGACAUCC